CCGAAGUGUGUGCGCACCAUCAGGAUAUUGAAUCUGAACUACGAACUUCUCAGUUGAGUGAUCAAGGUGCGCUGAUGUGAUUGCAUUAUCUAAAUUAAGAACUUCAAAAAUAUUUCUUUUAGUUUAACAGCCAUAGGAGUUGCUUUAUGCUGAUACUUGUGGUGAUUGCAUUAUCUCAGAUACUUUGCCAGUUCGUGGUGAAGAAAAAGUGAAUGAUGGACCAGCUACAGCUGAAUGUGAAUUUCUGGAUACAGAUUUCACUUCUCCUCUUCAAGUAACUCCACUGUUCAGAUCUUUAGCUGCAGAAAUUCCCACCCCAAAGUUUUCGGAAAGUGUAAGCAAUCUAUGCCUUGUUAAUAUUAAACCAGUUCAAUGUAAAUGUUUUGCUAAAGAGCUUCACCAUCAGUGCAUUUAGAUAAUGGAUCAAAUUGGACUUUUAUGCAUGGGUAAUCCAUCAAAAGAAUGGAUAUUUUUGCUUAAUUGAGAUAUUAGGAGAGAUUAUACGGGUGGAUUGGAGCAACAAAGACACUGUGUUUACAACGAUUAAUCAGUUCUGCAAUGAUUCUUACUGAACUGUGCUACACGACUAGGCUUUUGAGGUACACAAAGUGAAUAUGUUCCAACCAAGUAUUGCCCAUAGAGAACUAUAGACAAAUCAGUUCAACUGAAAACAUAGUUUACUUUUGCCUCAGUUGGUUAGUUCAAAAGUUUAAGAGAAAGUAUGUUUUUUUUUUUAUGAGAAUGAGUAUGCUUCUUUUGUUUUAUUUUUGUUCUUUUCCAUUUUGUGUCUCCUUAACAGAAAUCUGAAUCCUUGUUAUCUGGAGUGCUGUGUAUCAUGCUUCUUUCAAUAUAAAGAAAGGAAGAGCCAUAAAUAUAAUAUCAUUCUAUGCAUCUGUUGUUAGCUCCAGUUUAUUGAGAGAACAAAAAAGAAUAAAAAGCACUAAAAAGGAAGAAGGAACAGAGCUGGACUGAAAAUAUAUGUAUGACAUGCAACCCCAAAAAUCUUCGAGCAAACUGAAGAUGUCUGGUAUUUCUACCUAAUGCAAUUAUCUGAUUUUAAGACCUCCCAAAUCUUUGCCAAAAUGCAAUAUCUUAGAUAUGUGCCAAUUUCGGCUUGUUAUGUACUAAAUAGUCGAAAGAAAAAAAUCAGGUGUGUACUAAAUAGUCGAAAGAAAAAAAUCAGGUUUUUGGAGGUUACUGAUUGUCUUUUAUGUAUUGAUCUAUGUGAGUUUACAUAUACUAGUAAACAGAAUUUCUUGCUAAAACCCUGUAAGUUUACCGGUUCUUCACUUCGUUAACCUAACUUUCAGAAGAGCUGGUGAGCAAUCUUAAGCUUGCAGCAGAAUUCAACAACAUAUCAAGUGAAAUCCUAGAAGUGGGGUCCGAGGAGGGUAGUGUACGCAGCCUUAUCCCUACCUUUGUGAAGGUAGAGAAGCUGUUUCCAAUAGACUCUCGGCUCAAGGCUUGCAGCAGAAUUGAUUUUGGAAUAUAAGCUGCUUCCUCAUCAUUAUCUCUUACACUUUCCCUUCUUUCACAAUCUUGAUCUCCCUUUCUAGUCUUGCCUUAAUCAUAAUGCUUCACAUCCAAAUUCUAUUCUAGCUCGUUUGCCUUCUUUUCGAAAGACGUGCUUAUCUUUAAUGCAGACUGAUUACAGAAUUCCUCUUUUAAAAAUUUUAACCCUUAUGAAGAUUUAAAAAGUAAGAUAACAAAUCCAAUCAAACAGUAAGCUGUUUUGGUUAAAAAAAUUCUUCAUCAUAUGCUUAGAAUGCAACUCUGAAGAAUUACUACUUUCAUCGGUUGGAUUACGGUCAUGUUCUUUCCUGAUUUUUGGUAAUGUGGAAACUAUUUUGAAAUUUAGUUUAGUGAUCCUCAUCAUGCCUUUUACAUUGACUUUUCUAUUUCAUGUAAAUUGUGAUGCAUGAUUUCAUUUUCAUAUGCCUCUCUUUGACCUUACCUAUUUUAUGUGAAGUGUGAGCCAAGACUGAGAUUAACUUUUUAUUUAUUUAUUUAUUGUUUUUGCAGGAGAGGCAAUUCCUAUUGAAAACACUUGGAGUGGAGUCCACAUCCCCGUAUCCAGGCACAAAUCUUACACAACCUCCAUCGUGCAAAAGAGCCCUCCUCCACAGUCUAUAACCAACUUUACUGAUCAAACCUUACACAGAUUCUGCGGCGGGCAGAAUCACCAUAACUUUGAUCAACAGUUUUUAUUAUAUGUAGUCUACUCAAUUUUUUGGAGUUCUUUUUGUUUGGAUUGCAGUCACUACGACCUGAGUUUUUUUCAAGAGGCCUUGGAAGAUCUGGUCUGCACCCUAGAAUGCAAUGGAGGCAUUCUAGCUUUUUCUCUGGAGAUCUGACAGAUGAUCUGCAUCCUUUUCGGAGUUUCCGACCUAAUACUCACAGUAUCUAGUGUGUGUUUUUUAAUUGUUUCAUAUUCUUUUGUGUGUUGUUAUGGAACCCGAAUGGGGGUAUUCGAUGUUCCAUAAGUUUUCGGCUAUUGAUUAGCCAGUUGUACAGAACAAACAUUGUACUUACAGAUUGGCACCUCGCCAAGGUUUAUAGAGAAUAUUGAUAAGAGAAAAAAAAGAAGGAAGAAAACAUAGAGAGAGCUAGGAGGAUCAAUAAGUUGAAUUGGCCUUCUAUAUCAGUUUCUUUUCAUUUUUUGUGUGUAGAUGUUAUAUAAUAAGCUUCUAGGCUGUUCAGAGCUUUUUGUUUCUUUGCCUGAUCUACAUGUAAUGUAAAACAUACUUUAUUUGAUUGGAGAAUGCAAUAUGGUUCCAGUGUGCAGACCUUUCUCUUCUCCUGCUCCACUUGUCUGAGAUAGUAAGAUUGCUCAUUGCUGUAAUACUGUCACAGGUAAUGCUGACUGCAAAUGAACAGUUAUCUUUACACAAAAACUUGUUAUAAGCACAGAACAUGAAAGAGAUAAGAGUUCUUACUCAUAAAGAUAAAGGUUGUUGCUUUCUCUGGCUUUAGACAAGAGACUUCUUCCAUUCCAUCUGGCUGCUGCUGUCUCUGCAGAGAGAUCUGUAAAUGGGGGUGGAAUCUUGUGGGGAAUGAGGGGUCUGAGAAAUCUGCUGCUUAUUUAAAUUGGUCAGCAGUUGGUGGUGAUGGUGGUGGUGGGCAACUGUGAUCAUUACUAAAAGCAAAAGCCAGUGGUAAAAGGAGGGAAGCCUGUACAAAUUAAAGUGUGAAUUCUACUGGCAAUCACUUUGCUUCCUCUUUUGGCUUGAAUAUUAAGUGGAAAGGACUAGAAUGGCCUAAAUAACCAGGAUCAAUUCUUU
rnacentral:lncRNA from 1 species